UCAAGGCCCAGAACUCACUCAGCUCUUCCCCAGGAGAACCAAGCCCUGCAUCAGGUGCAGUGCUGCCUGCCCCACUGUGCCAUGGGCCCCGGGCUCCUCUGCUGGGCGCUGCUUUGUCUACUGGGAGCAGGCCCAGUGGACACUGGUGUCACCCAAAGUCCCACACACCUGAUCAAAACAAGAGGACAGCAAGUGAUUCUGAGAUGCUCUCCUAUCUCUGGGCACAGCAGUGUGUCCUGGUACCAACAGGCCCUGGGUCAGGGGCCCCAGUUCAUCUUUGAGUAUUAUAAGGAGGAAGAGAGAGAGAGAGGCAACUUCCCUGAACGAUUCUCAGGUCGCCAGUUCCCUAACUAUAGCUCUGAGCUGAAUGUGAACACCUUGGAGAUGGGCGACUCGGCCCUGUAUCUCUGUGCCAGCAGAUUAGACAGGGGGGAAGAGACCCAGUACUUCGGACCAGGCACGCGGCUCCUGGUGCUCGAGGACCUGAAAAAGGUGUUCCCACCCAAGGUCGCUGUGUUUGAGCCAUCAGAAGCAGAGAUCUCCCACACCCAAAAGGCCACGCUGGUGUGCCUGGCCAGAGACUUCUACCCCGACCACGUGGAGCUGAGCUGGUGGGUGAACGGGAAAGAGGUGCACAGUGGGGUCAGCACAGACCCACAGCCCCUCAAGGAGCAGCCCGCCCUCAACGACUCCAGAUACUGCCUGAGCAGCCGCCUGAGGGUCUCGGCCACCUUCUGGCACAACCCCCGCAACCACUUCCGCUGCCAAGUCCAGUUCUAUGGGCUCUCGGAGGAUGACGAGUGGACGGAGGACAGGGACAAGCCCAUCACCCAGACGAUCAGCGCCGAGGCGUGGGGUAGAGCAGACUGUGGCUUCACCUCUGAGUCCUACCAGCAAUGGGUCCUGUCUGCCACCAUCCUCUAUGAGAUCUUGCUAGGGAAGGCCACCUUGUAUGCCGUGCUGGUCAGUGCCCUUGUGCUGAUGGCCAUGGUCAAGAGAAAGGAUUCCUGAGGCUAGCUCCAAAACCAUCCCGGGUCAUUCUUCAUCCUCACCCAGGAUUCUCCUGUACCUGCUCCCAAUCUGUGUUCCUAAAAGUAAUUCUCUCUCUGCUUCUCAUCUCCUUAUAUGAAUACUUCCCUCUUUUUCUAUUUCCCUGAAGAUUGAGCUCCCGACCCCCAAGUUUGAAAAAGACUAAACCAAUAAAAAAUGGUUGUGCUGGGCCUGGUUGCA